UAAAAAAAUACAAUUGUUAUCUUUAUCAUAUAUCUUGAAUCCAUUCAAAAGUAAAGUGUAGUGACUGAUAUAAUAUGCCCCAUUAUUUUUUUUUUUCAAGUAGUACUUUUAUUUUAUCCCAAAAUAAUUUCAGAUAUGUGAAUGUUACACAGCACUGUUGAUAAAAGACAACAACAUUGCAUAUAUGGAACGAAAACCCCAUUGAAACGCAUUGAAAAUCAUAGUAAAUAAAUGGGGUCCUGUUCCAUUAAUAAUUUUGAUAGCCACCUUGGUACUUCUGGUUCAUGUCAGGCAUUUGUUUUGAAGUUUCCAAGUACAAUCUCAGUGCCUCAUGACCGGCAUUCCGUUGCAAAAUUUUGUUUAUUGACAACAGGGUCAGUCUGUCUACUUCCGGGGAAGAAUAAAGGCUAGAAUUUAGCAAUUUACUCUAUGUACUGACGCCAAAAUACAUUUAAAUCAAUCAAAUUUUUUACAGAAAUUCAAUCUAGAAACCUACCCUUUCAAACAAAUCUACAGUCAGUUACAGAACUAGUGUAAUAAUAACACUACACAAUUUUAAACAAAAGUUAUAUAUUUUUUUUUAAGAACUAUAUACACCUUAUCGCUAUUUGUCCGCAAUUAGUGGAUAUCACACAGGUUCCUGUAAAAAUUUGACGUCAUAAAACAAAAUAUCUGACGCCACAAUGGAAAAGUGAUUGUUGUAUGCGUCAAAAGUUCAAGCGGCCGGGUAGCCGGGAUUACCGAUUAGGUGUAUUCGUGGGUACAAGACUGGUUGCCGUAACUGGGAUCCUAUUCCAUAUGUAUAUUUCUCACGAAAUCUGUUAAAGAGGGAACGAUACAUGUUGGUUGGUUCCUUUUCUAUCGGCCUUGAAAUUUAAACUAAUAAUCGGGGCAACUAUUAUUUACUCAAUCCACCUCUGUUUUUGUACUAAUUUAAAAAAAAAAAAAAAUUCAGAAAUCAAAUGAGCCUGUAAAUACUUUUUUUUUUUUUUUUUUUUUUUUUUUUUUUUAUCUUAUAUCACCUUUUGAUUACCAAUUAUAUAAUUAAAAGUAGAACCUUACCUUUAAUUAAUCUAUUGUUAAUUGUACCUUUUUUU
rnacentral:lncRNA from 1 species